GAUGAACGCUGGCGGCGUGCCUAAUACAUGCCAGUCGAGCGAACAGACGAGGAGCUUGCUCCUCUGACGUUAGCGGCGGACGGGUGAGUAACACGUGGAUAACCUACCUAUAAGACUGGGAUAACUUCGGGAAACCGGAGCUAAUACCGGAUAAUAUAUUGAACCGCAUGGUUCAAUAGUGAAAGACGGUUUUGCUGUCACUUAUAGAUGGAUCCGCGCCGCAUUAGCUAGUUGGUAAGGUAACGGCUUACCAAGGCAACGAUGCGUAGCCGACCUGUGAGGGGGAUCGGCCACACUGGAACUGAGACACGGUCCAGACUCCUACGGGAGGCAGCAGUAGGGAAUCUUCCGCAAUGGGCGAAAGCCUGACGGAGCAACGCCGCGUGAGUGAUGAAGGUCUUCGGAUCGUAAAACUCUGUUAUUAGGGAAGAACAAAUGUGUAAGUAACUAUGCACGUCUUGACGGUACCUAAUCAGAAAGCCACGGCUAACUACGUG
rnacentral:rRNA from 1 species